rnacentral:SRP_RNA from 1 species
GCCUGGCAUGGUGGCGUGUGUCUGUAGUCUCAGCUACUUGGGAGGCUGAGACAAGAGGAUCACUUGAGUCCAGGAAUUGUAGGCUGCAGUGAGCUAUGGUUGCACCACUGCACUCCAGCCUGGAUGAUAAAGUGAGACCUUGUCUCUU